rnacentral:lncRNA from 1 species
AAGACGCACCUCGAACCAGCAGCGCGGUGGUGCUGUGGACUUGAACUUCCUGAAUGCUGAGGAGGGUGAGCCUGCUACUGCACCAAAGACUGGUAACAAGAGAAAGAAACGCGGAGCUACCUAUGAGGAAGAAGAUGUUUCUAUUCCUCAUAUCUAUGUCUCUCCUAUGAAUGGUGUCCUCGCGGUCUCGCACUCGCCUAUCGAUGUUAACCCGGAAGAGUUUGACAGCUACCUGAACUCUCUUGAUAACCUGAUGCAGCAGCCUCCAGAAGAGGUUGGGCGAGACUCGUCUGUUCUUGUUAGUGUUAGCUCUCCAAUGAGAGAAUACGAAUGGGCUGAAGCUCGAAUGAAGAUUUCAUCUCUUCUGGAGAAGGAUUUCACUACUCUGUUCCUCUCCAAAGACGCAGCAGAGAUAGCAGCAUUAGCAACUAAACUGAGGAAAGAUCCAAACCUUACUGCUGAAGAGAUAGUAAGAUUGAAGCUGAUGGAAGAGAUUCCAACGUUCAGCGAAGUGUUCCAAGAGAACAAAGGGGUGAUUGAAGAAGCAGAUCGGUUUUUCUCUGCGCUGGAGCUCAACAAAGCCAAGGUAGCAUCGCUUAAAUACGAAUACAGCGACCUGAAGGAAAAACUAGGGAGUAUCCAAAUGGAAGUAGACACAAACUCUGAGACAAUCCGUCAAAUCGAUGACCAAAUCGCUCAGCUUCAAGCCAGACGGUCUGAGUUGAAGCGGUACAUCGGGACCAAGGAGAAAGAGAGGGUUGAUCUAAGCUACGGUCAGAAAAUGGUAGCGAACUCGAUCCCGAAAGUUGUGCAGGAAGUUCAAUCAGCUAAUUCAAAGAAGCCUGAAUGGGAAUGUAAGAAGGACAAUGCACUCAAACGUGAAGCAGAGAUCCUCUCUAAAUUCACUCCUCUCAAAGGCUUCUUCCUCUAAAUCUGGCCUCCUCCUGUAUCCUUUAUAACCUUUAGCCAGUCUUGUUGUGUCAUGUAGCUUUUUGGUUUAUGUUGCAAGAGUCUUGAAACUUAUUUUAGACUUGGGCCU